GUAAGCGCGCGCAGGCGGCUUCUUAAGUCUGAUGUGAAAUCCCUGAGCUCACCUUAGGAAUUGCAUUCGAUACUGGAAAGCUAGAGUAUGGAACACUAUGGUAGAAUUCCAGGUGUAGCGGUGAAAUGCGUAGAGAUCUGGAGGACUACCGAUGGCGAAGGCAGCCCUCUGUCCUAAUACUGACGCUGAGGGACGAAAGCAUGGGGAGCAAACAGGAUUAGAUACCCUGGUACUCCAUGCCGUAAACGAUGUCUACUAGGUGUUGGGGCCUUUGAGCGCUUUAGUGGCGCAACUAACGCAAUAAGCACACCGCCUGGGGAGUACGGUCGCAAGAC
rnacentral:rRNA from 1 species